rnacentral:rRNA from 1 species
UGAGUACGAGCUGCUACGGCAGCGAAGUGGGUGAUGUCAAGCUUCCAAGAAAAGCCCUAUACCCGUUAAGGCAUGACGGCCUGUACCCGAAACCGACACAGGUGGGUAGGUAGAGUAUACUAAGGGGCGCGAGAUAACUCUCUCUAAGGAACUCGGCAAAAUGACUCCGUAACUUCGGGAGAAGGAGUGCCUUAUUUAUAAGGUUGCAAUAACAAGAUCCAAGCAACUGUUUAUCAAAAACACAGGUCUCCGCUAAGUCGUAAGACGAUGUAUGGGGGCUGACGCCUGCCCAGUGCCAGAAGGUUAAAGAAGUUGGUUAGUGUAUGCGAAGCUGAUGACUGAAGCCCUGGUGAACGGCGGCCGUAACUAUAACGGUCCUAAGGUAGCGAAAUUCCUUGUCGGGUAAGUUCCGACCCGCACGAAAGGCGUAAUGAUUUGGAUACUGUCUCGGAGAGAGGCUCGGUGAAAUAGACUUGUCUGUGAAGAUGCGGACUACCUGCACCAGGACAGAAAGACCCUAUGAAGCUUUACUGUAACUUGAAAUUGGAAUUGGACUUUGCUUGCGCAGUAUAGGUGGGAAGCGUUGAAGAUAUUCUUGCGGGAGUAUUGGAGCUAUCAGUGAGAUACCACUCUUGUAAUGUUAGAUUUCUAACUUUGAACCAUAAUCUGGUCAAAGAACAGUUUCAGGUGGGCAGUUUGACUGGGGCGGUCGCCUCCCAAAUGGUAACGGAGGCGUACAAAGGUUUCCUCUGAACGGAUAGAAAUCGUAUCUAGAGUGUAAAGGCAUAAGGAAGCUUGACUGUGAGACCUACAAGUCGAGCAGGGACAAAAGUCGGUCUUAGUGAUCUGACGGUACUGAGUGGAAAGGCCGUCACUCAACGGAUAAAAGUUACUCUAAGGAUAACAGGCUGAUCUCCCCCAAGAGUUCACAUCGACGGGGAGGUUUGGCACCUCGAUGUCGGCUCAUCGCAUCCUGGGGCGGUAGUACGUCCCAAGGGUUGGGCUGUUCGCCCAUGAAAGCGGUACGCGAGCUGGGUUCAGAACGUCGUGAGACAGUUCGGUCCAUAUCCGGUGUAGGCGUUAGAAUAUUGAGAGGAGCCUUCUUUAGUACGAGAGGACCGAGAAGGACACACCGCUGGUGUACCAGUUAUCGUGCCAACGGUAAACGCUGGGUAGCUAUGUGUGGAGUGGAUAACCGCUGAAAGCAUCUAAGUGGGAAGCCCACCUCAAGAUGAUUGCUCUCACAGGAUUAACCUGGUAAGGUCACGGGAAGACCACCCGUUGAUAGGCACUCGGUGGAAGUCCAGCAAUGGAUGAAGCCAA